rnacentral:rRNA from 1 species
GUGAGGAAUAUUGGACAAUGGGCGCAAGCCUGAUCCAGCCAUGCCGCGUGCAGGAAGACGCAUCUAUGGUGUGUAAACUGCUUUUGUACGGGAAGAAACACUCCCUCGUGAGGGAGCUUGACGGUACCGUAAGAAUAAGGAUCGGCUAACUCCGUGCCAGCAGCCGCGGUAAUACGGAGGAUCCAAGCGUUAUCCGGAAUCAUUGGGUUUAAAGGGUCCGGAGGCGGUUUAAUAAGUCAGUGGUGAAAGCCCAUCGCUCAACGAUGGAACGGCCAUUGAUACUGUUAGACUUGAAUUACAAGGAAGUAACUAGAAUAUGUAGUGUAGCGGUGAAAUGCUUAGAUAUUACAUGGAAUACCAAUUGCGAAGGCAGGUUACUACUUGUGGAUUGACGCUGAUGGACGAAAGCGUGGGGAGCGAACAGGAUUAGAUACCCUGGUAGUCC